UUGGAUCUUGAACAUAAGAGCCAGAUUGUGAACCAUGACCAGGACAGGACUGUCACUGACAAGAAAAGAAAGUGUCUACUUGAUUAUUAAGGAUUAGUGUUGUACUAUCAGUGGACCUGGACAUCUGUUGUGUCGCUUGGACGUUGCUUUUUUCAAUGUGAAUUUGCUGUGAUCACUUGUUCUUCUACUUAGUUAUUAGCCAUGGAGAUAAAUGUUUAUGGCAAAUUUUGUCGAGACUGUUUCCAUCUUAUGUUACAUAGAUUCUUUUUCAAAAAAAAAAAAAAAAAAGAAAAAGAAAAAAGACAAGUACUCAGUAGGAUAUCCUUGUGGCACAAACAUUUAUCAAGUUUUCAGCUACCAACUGCUCAGAAUUGAGCUACUGCAACUGGUGCUACGAAGACUUAAAAUGUCAUUCCUAAGAAAACGGGAUUUUCUGAUUUUCUAUAUAAGAACUUCUGAUGCUGCUGCUUGAAGACACUCAAAUAAAUCACCAGCUAUCAACACAUGUCCGUUUAUUUGUGUGAGUCAGAGGUUAUUCCCAUUUCCUGUACUUCAAACUCUGUCUCAACUGGGGUCAAAGGUUAAAGGGACAGCACUGUGUUUCACGCCCCUCUCAUCCU
ensembl:lncRNA